GCUCUUGUAGUUCAGUUGGUUAGACCACCAUCUUAGUAAGCGGAACUCUUGAGUUUGACUCUCAACGAGAGCA
rnacentral:tRNA from 1 species